AAUUCAUUCUCCUCAAAGUUUUAAAAAAAAAAAAACAAAAGAGGCUUCUCUCUUCUCUCUGUGCUAGCCCAAAAUCCGGCGAGGUCUCCGACCGAUCGCCACCGUGGUCCGCCGCCGGCUCCUGGAAAACCAAAAAAAGUUGAUGGCAGUGGAGCAGGUGGUGGUGGCAGACGGUAGACGUGACAGGCAUAGGGCGAUGGGACAGGGGGCAGAGGCGGUGCCUAGGGUUAGGAGCGGCUAGGUUUUUUUUUGGUUAAGGUUUGGGCUUUGGGUUUAUUUAAUGGGCUUGGGGUUUUUUAGGUUUUUUAAGGUUUGGGCUAAUUAGUUUUGGGUUUGGGGUCUGUUUAGUUGGUUGGGUUUUAUUGGCCCGGACAAAUUAGGCUUGUAACAGAACCUAUUGUGGAAAAGAAGUCGUAAUGAUAAAGUUUUAUCUUUAUUAGUGGGA